AUACGGAAGGUCCGGGCGUUAUCCGGAUUUAUUGGGUUUAAAGGGAGCGCAGUCGGAGAUGCAAGCGUGACGUCAAAUUUCGGGGCUCAACCCCGUCUCGCGUCGCGAACUGCGUCCCUUGGUUGCGGGAAGGGGAGGCGGAACUCGUGGUGUAGCGGUGAAAUGCAUAGAUAUCACGAAGAACUCCGAUCGCGAAGGCAGCCUUCCGGCCCGUCAACGACGCUCAUGCUCGAAGGUGCGGGUAUCAAACAGGAUUAGAUACCCUGGUAGUCCGCACAGUAAACGAUGGACACCCGCGGUUUGGCCUGUAUGGCUGAGCCGCCAAGCGAAAGCGUUAAGUGUCCCACCUGGGGAGUACGCCGGCAACGGUGAAACUCAAAGGAAUUGACGGGG
rnacentral:rRNA from 1 species